UUCCAUUUCAUUUAGGUAAAAAUAAAAACCUAAUACUGUUUCCAUUUCAUUUUCCAGUUUGCGUUUUUUGUUUCCGAAUACAACUUGAAAUACACAAAACAUCGUUCCUACAACACUUCGUUUCCGACACACGCGCACACAAACAAAAAAGAGGGAGAAAGCAGUUUUCUGGUCAUUUGAGCAUUGCAUUCUUUCCUUGAGCGUCUCAGUGGCUGCUGCAACGUGGAAGCAGCACGAGUCGGAAGAACUCGAAGGGUAGCUUCAUCCCUGUCCUUUCUGCUACUGAAGCAAGAGGUUUGUACUGCAGCUUUUGGCUACCACCACACGUCAAAGCUGAUCGUGUCUCGCGAAAACUAUUGCAUUCGUGACCGAGGAGCGCACUGUGAAGCAGUCAAGAUGGUUAGGUGCCUGCAGGAACAAAUGAGUACACUACUUUUAAGGAGGAAGUGAAAGCUUCUUCCUGUUCUCAUUGAUAAGACGUAAAAGGAGAUGGCAACCCCUCAUCUCCUUCCUCUUAGUCUGUACCUUAGGCGCUUGGUCGUGAGCUAUUGCCAAGGCAUGUACACCAUUACCCAUAACAAAAACAUGUUGCCAGGAAAAAGAAAGUUGCAAGUAAAAAUAAUCUGGACGUGCUUCUUGUUCUGCACACCUUUCGUUCAGUACUAGUAAUUAUUGAUAAUGCUGUAGUAAAUGAAAGCAACGUGUGCGGACAGUGUUGCAGAGUAGUCGAUACUGUAGCAUCUCUCACCGGAAAAGGACGUCUCUACAAGAGCUUUGACAAAAACCACAUCAACAGUGUCUGUAUCGCGCAGGCAAUUGCACUAAAACAUGACGAAAAUGAUCGGUGGUCUUUUUGUCCAAAUGAGACGUCUCCCUCGUUUCAAUCUUCC
rnacentral:lncRNA from 1 species